AUACGGAGGUUGCGAGCGUUAAUCGGAAUUACUGGGCGUAAAGCGUGCGUAGGCGGUUUGCUAAGUCAGAUGUGAAAGCCCCGGGCUUAACCUGGGAACUGCAUUUGAUACUGGCAGACUAGAGUAUGAUAGAGGGGGGUAGAAUUCCUGGUGUAGCGGUGAAAUGCGUAGAUAUCAGGAGGAAUACCAGUGGCGAAGGCGGCCCCCUGGAUCAAUACUGACGCUGAGGUACGAAAGCGUGGGGAGCGAACAGGAUUAGAAACCCUAGUAGUCC
rnacentral:rRNA from 1 species